CGCAAGUCGAACGGCAGCGGGGACUUCGGUCCGCCGGCGAGUGGCGAACGGGUGAGUAACGUAUCGGAACGUACCUUUCAGGGGGGGAUAACGUAGCGAAAGUUACGCUAAUAACGCAUAUUCUGUGAGCAGGAAAGCAGGGGAUCGCAAGACCUUGCGCUGAUUGAGCGGCCGAUAUCAGAUUAGCUAGUUGGUGAGGUAAAGGCUCACCAAGGCGACGAUCUGUAGCGGGUCUGAGAGGAUGAUCCGCCACACUGGAACUGAGACACGGUCCAGACUCCUACGGGAGGCAGCAGUGGGGAAUUUUGGACAAUGGGGGCAACCCUGAUCCAGCCAUGCCGCGUGAGUGAAGAAGGCCUUCGGGUUGUAAAGCUCUUUCGGCCGGGAAGAAAUCGUAUGGGUUAAUACCCUGUGCGGAUGACGGUACCGGCAUAAGAAGCACCGGCUAACUACGUGCCAGCAGCCGCGGUAAUACGUAGGGUGCGAGCGUUAAUCGGAAUUACUGGGCGUAAAGCGUGCGCAGGCGGUUUUGUAAGACAGGCGUGAAAUCCCCGGGCUCAACCUGGGAACUGCGCUUGUGACUGCAAGGCUAGAGUACGGCAGAGGGGGGUGGAAUUCCACGUGUAGCAGUGAAAUGCGUAGAGAUGUGGAGGGACACCAAUGGCGAAGGCAGCCCCCUGGGUCGAUACUGACGCUCAUGCACGAAAGCGUGGGUAGCAAACAGGAUUAGAUACCCUGAUAGUCCACGCCCUAAACGAUGUCAACUAGGUGUUGGAUGGGUAAGACCAUUUAGUACCGGAGCUAACGCGUGAAGUUGACCGCCUGGGGAGUACGGCCGCAAGGUUAAAACUCAAAGGAAUUGACGGGGACCCCGCACAAGCGGUGGGAUGAUGUGGAU
rnacentral:rRNA from 1 species